rnacentral:rRNA from 1 species
AGCAGCCGCGGUAAUUCCAGCUCCAAUAGCGUAUAUUAAAGUUGUUGCAGUUAAAAAGCUCGUAGUUGAAUUUCGGGAUUAGUACGUUGGUCGUGCCUUAGGUACGUACUGGUGUUACUGGUUCCUACCUUCUGACGAACCAUCAUGUCAUUAAUUUGGUGUGGCGGGGAAUCAGGACUGUUACUUUGAAAAAAUUAGAGUGUUUAAAGCAGGCUCGCGCUUGAAUACAUUAGCAUGGAAUAAUGAAAUAGGACGUUGACCCUAUUUUGUUGGUCUCUAGGAUUGACGUAAUGAUUAAUAGGGAUAGUUGGGGGCAUUAGUAUUCAAUUGUCAGAGGUGAAAUUCUUGGAUUUAUUGAAGACUAACUACUGCGAAAGCAUUUGCCAAGGAUGUUUUCAUUAAUCAAGAACGAAAGUUAGGGAUCGAAGACGAUCAGAUACCGUCGUAGUCUUAACCAUAAACUAUGCCGACUAGGGAUCGGAUGAUGUUAAUUUUUAUGUACUCAUUCGGCGCCUUACGG